rnacentral:rRNA from 1 species
GAUGAACGCUGGCGGCGUGCCUAAUACAUGCAAGUCGAGCGAACAGACGAGGAGCUUGCUCCUCUGACGUUAGCGGCGGACGGGUGAGUAACACGUGUAUAACCUACCUAUAAGACUGGGAUAACUUCGGGAAACCGGAGCUAAUACCGGAUAAUAUAUUGAACCGCAUGGUUCAAUAGUGAAAGACGGUUUUGCUGUCACUUAUAGAUGGAUCCGCGCCGCAUUAGCUAGUUGGUAAGGUAACGGCUUACCAAGGCAACGAGGCGUAGCCGACCUGAGAGGGUGAUCGGCCACACUGGAACUGAGACACGGUCCAGACUCCUACGGGAGGCAGCAGUCGCGAAUGUUCGGCAGUGGGCGAAAGCAUGACGCAGCAACGCCGAGUGAGUGAUGAAGGUCUUCGGAUCGUAAAAAUCUGUUAUUAGGGAAGAACCAAUGUGUAAGUAACUAUGCACGUCUUGACGGUACUUAAUCAGAAAGCCACGGCUAACUACGUG